GAUGAACGCUGGCGGCGUGCCUAAUACAUGCAAGUAGAACGCUGAAGCUUGGUGCUUGCACCGAGCGGAUGAGUUGCGAACGGGUGAGUAACGCGUAGGUAACCUGCCUCUUAGCGGGGGAUAACUAUUGGAAACGAUAGCUAAUACCGCAUAAAAGUCGAUAUCGCAUGAUAUUGAUUUGAAAGGUGCAAAUGCAUCACUAAGAGAUGGACCUGCGUUGUAUUAGCUAGUUGGUGAGGUAACGGCUCACCAAGGCGACGAUACAUAGCCGACCUGAGAGGGUGGUCGGCCACACUGGGACUGGGACACGGCCCAGACUCCUACGGGAGGCAGCAGUAGGGAAUCUUCGGCAAUGGGGGCAACCCUGACCGAGCAACGCCGCGUGAGUGAAGAAGGUUUUCGGAUCGUAAAGCUCUGUUGUAAGAGAAGAACGAGUGUGAGAGUGGAAAGUUCACACUGUGACGGUAACUUACCAGAAAGGGACGGCUAACUACGUG
rnacentral:rRNA from 1 species